CAAUAGCGUAUAUUAAAGUUGUUGCGGUUAAAAAGCUCGUAGUUGGAUUUCUGCUGAGAACGACCGGUCCGCCCUCUGGGUGUGUAUCUGGCUCUUUCUUGGCAUCUUCUUGGUGAACGUUGCUGCACUUGACUGUGUGGAGCGCUACCCAGGACUUUUACUUUGAGGAAAUUAGAGUGUUUCAAGCAGGCAUACGCCUUGAAUACAUUAGCAUGGAAUAAUAAGAUAGGACCUCGGUUCUAUUUUGUUGGUUUCUAGAGCUGAGGUGAUGAUUAAUAGGGAUAGUUGGGGGCAUUCGUAUUUAACUGUCAGAGGUGAAAUUCUUGGAUUUAUGAAAGACGAACUUCUGCGAAAGCAUUUGCCAAGGAUGUUUUCAUUAA
rnacentral:rRNA from 1 species